UACGUAGGGGGCAAGCGUUGUCCGGAUUUAUUGGGCGUAAAGAGCGUGUAGGCGGCCUGACAGGUCUGCCUGUGAAAACUCGAGGCUCAACCUCGAGAUGUCGGCGGAAACCGUCUGGCUAGAGUCCGGAAGAGGAGAGUGGAAUUCCUGGUGUAGCGGUGAAAUGCGCAGAUAUCAGGAAGAACACCUAUGGCGAAGGCAGCUCUCUGGGACGGUACUGACGCUGAGACGCGAAAGCGUGGGGAGCGAACAG
rnacentral:rRNA from 1 species